CUCCUGCGGUCUGGGCGAGUCUGUUUUGGGGCGCGAGUUGCCGCAAUGGUUUCUUCGUUUGUAGGUUGUCGAUGUCCUUUUUCUACUACUGGCCUAUGAUCUACCAAUCAGUAGUGGCCUGCAACCCAUUCUGUUAAUAAGUAUUGAAAGCUGAGAAUUGAUUGCUGACCCAGUGUCACUGCAUUGCGGUGCACCGAAGGACAAGGCGAUGAGGCCCUGCUCUCCCGGAAGUCACGUACCGGCUGGCGGGGAGAAAUAGUUCAGCUUUCGUUUGGCAUACAGUAAUUGUUUCUUAAGCGUUUAAUUUAAGGUCCCGGGAAUACAGCAAUAAAGAAUAUAAACAACACUCUACAGAAGCUUGUAAUUCACUUGGACGGUAAUUCUGACAUUGUGUGGACACUGGAUUAGAUGGACAAAAGGAAGCCAGACAUGGAAAAUCUUCAAAACCAGACUGGGAAAACUGAUUUUGAUCAGAUAUACAAAGGGAGCCACUCGUGAAGUUCUUAAAUAAAGAGAGACAUGAAGAUACUGGUGUAUUGUCCUUUAAAAUUAAACUGGAAGUGAUUUACAAGAUGGAUUAAACUGGUGACAGAUAAGAAACUCUGCUGAUUUGCCUGGCUUUUCCCCUGGAAUU